AAAUUGAAGAGUUUGAUCAUGGCUCAGAUUGAACGCUGGCGGCAGGCCUAACACAUGCAAGUCGAACGGUAACAGGAAGCAGCUUGCUGCUUCGCUGACGAGUGGCGGACG
rnacentral:rRNA from 6 species